GAUGAACGCUGGCGGCGUGCCUAAUACAUGCAAGUCGAGCGAAUGGAUUAAGAGCUUGCUCUUAUGAAGUUAGCGGCGGACGGGUGAGUAACACGUGGGUAACCUGCCCAUAAGACUGGGAUAACUCCGGGAAACCGGGGCUAAUACCGGAUAACAUUUUGAACCGCAUGGUUCGAAAUUGAAAUGCGGCUUCUGCUGUCACUUAUGGAUGGACACGCGUCGCAUUAGCUAGUUGGUGAGGUAACGGCUCACCAAGGCAACGAUGCGUAGCCGACCUGAGAGGGUGAUCGGCCACACUGGGACUGAGACACGGCCCAGACUCCUACGGGAGGCAGCAGUAGGGAAUCUUCCGCAAUGGACGAAAGUCUGACGGAGCAACGCCGCGUGAGUGAUGAAGGCUUUCGGGUCGUAAAACUCUGUUGUUAGGGAAGAACAAGUGCUAGUUGAAUAAGCUGGCACCUUGACGGUACCUAACCAGAAAGCCACGGCUAACUACGUGCCAGCCGCCGCAGUAA
rnacentral:rRNA from 1 species